rnacentral:rRNA from 1 species
UACGAAGGGGGCUAGCGUUGCUCGGAAUCACUGGGCGUAAAGGGUGCGUAGGCGGGUCUUUAAGUCAGGGGUGAAAUCCUGGAGCUCAACUCCAGAACUGCCUUUGAUACUGAAGAUCUUGAGUUCGGGAGAGGUGAGUGGAACUGCGAGUGUAGAGGUGAAAUUCGUAGAUAUUCGCAAGAACACCAGUGGCGAAGGCGGCUCACUGGCCCGAUACUGACGCUGAGGCACGAAAGCGAUGGGGAGCAA